rnacentral:pre_miRNA from 1 species
AAUAUUUGACGCCGUUGACUUUUUAGCACAUGUUUGACCGUUCGUCUUAUUCAAAAAAUUUAAGUAAUUAUUAAUUCUUUUCCUAUCAUUUGAUUAUUGUUAAAUAUAUUUUUAUGUAGGCAUAUAAUUUUACAUAUUUCAUACAAUUUUUUAAUAAGACGAACGGUCAAACAUGUGCUAAAAAGUCAACAG